UUGAUCCACAGACGGUUGAAGAACACGGAGGAGACCAAGAUCCAAGCAAAAGAAGUAGUAUUGAGUCCAUCUCGACUACUACUUCAUCUGCUACUCCGGCAAUUGAUAAAGACAUAAAAAAGGUUGUUCAAAAGACUGCUACAAACUUUUGCGCCUAGGGCUUCCACCGCAACAAAGAAUCCUGCAGUACCUGGGACUACUUUGUACACUGUUUUUGUAGUUCAAGGUUAUGCUUCAAUGUUGCUUGGUGGGGGCACUUUCGUUCAAUUUCAUAUUUCCAUCGAAUGAACCUGACAUAUGGAGAUUGAUG